CCUACGGGGGGCAGCAGUCGGGAAUAUUGCGCAAUGGAGGGAACUCUGACGCAGUGACGCCGCGUAUAGGAAGAAGUUUUUCGGAAUGUAAACUAUUGUCGUUAGGGAAGAGAAAGGACGGUACCUAAGGAGGAAGCCCCGGCUAACUAUGUGCCAGCAGCCGCGGUAAUACAUAGGGGGCAAGCGUUAUCCGGAAUUAUUGGGUGUAAAGGGUGCGUAGACGGGAAAUUAAGUUAGUUGUGAAAUCCCCAGGCUCAACUUGGGAAUUGCAACUAAAACUGGUUUUCUUGAGUACUGGAGAGGAA
rnacentral:rRNA from 1 species